rnacentral:rRNA from 1 species
UACGUAGGGUGCAAGCGUUAAUCGGAAUUACUGGGCGUAAAGCGUGCGCAGGCGGUUAUGCAAGACAGAUGUGAAAUCCCCGGGCUCAACCUGGGAACUGCAUUUGUGACUGCAUAGCUAGAGUGCGGCAGAGGGAGAUGGAAUUCCGCGUGUAGCAGUGAAAUGCGUAGAGAUGUGGAGGAACACCGGAUGGCGAAGGCAGCCCCCUGGGUCAAGAUUGACGCUCAUGCACGAAAGCGUGGGGAGCAAACAGG